UAUUAUAAAAUUUACUUACAUUUUUCAUGACACAUGCAGAAUCUAAAGAUUUAUAAAUAUGGAGUAGAUAAUGCUUUCCAUUUAAAUUUGGCAUCAAGCCAUCGCUCUGAGCCCAAAAUAACAAUGCAGACAACGCUGGUUUAAAAAAAAUCCCAGAUUUACUUAAUUUUGGCUGUUUGUUCCUUUGCCUAAGUGUUUGUUUUUUCUUUUUUUUUAAUCUUACUCUCUAAAGCCAAGCCAAAGUUCUUUCUUCGAAGAAUCAGAUUUUUUGACUGAUGGUGAAGCAGAUGGAUCACAAAAUUAGGAGCAUAAAAUGUAAGAACAAAUGCAAUAUGGAUGCUGCAUAUUAAAGGGACUCGAUCAGUCUUACUCAUUUUGUGGAAUCAAGGAAAGGACCAUUCAAGCGUUUCCAUGAGUUUCUCUUCCAUUCUACCUAAAACUCCCUCUUGCUGGAGGAAUUCUGUCGAUCAAAUUCUAGUUAUCCAAAUCAACACAUUUAAUAUAUCUUACAGGGGUAUUAGUGCUUUGUGUGUGGGGGGGGAGGGGUGGUGGGUACAGGUGAAAUAAGUUUAGGAAAUGAUCAAUGUACCAAAGGUGAACAGGUUUACAUAUUGCUGUUUCUAUCUGUACAUACCACACAGGUUUGUACAGAACUGCAAUAGUGUUUGGAUCUAGCUAGAGCCUGGAUAUGAUUCUGCUUUACCAACCCAACAAGGAACUUCUUCUGUGCACAUGAUUGAAUCAAGGUGAAUGAACAUGUUUGGGGGAAGUUUUAAAGGCUUACACAAAGAACUACAGCUCUGUCAAGUGAUGUAAUAUAAUUAUAAAAGUUCUUUUAAAAAAAUUUACUGUUGCCUUUCAGUCUACCUUCCUGUAUUUUACUACACUCUACCUUAUUUUAAAUGUGAUUUAAGGAAAUGUUUUGCUCCAUACUUUCUUAGUCUAUCCCUCCCUUUCUUCCUCUUUGCCUUAUAAAAGAAUAAAUAUAUAAUCGAGCCAAAAAAAAAAA